GUGCGUGUGUGCAUCCCUCCCGGCAGCCCGACCCCCAGCCGGGCUGACCCCCGGGGGGGCGAGGGGGAGACGCGGGGCGCGGGGACACACACACACACACGCACACACACGCACGCACGCAGGCAGGCACUUCUGCAGGCGCAGCCCUUUCGCAUCAAGAGAUUGGCUAUAAGGAGAAGGCUGACGGCUGCAGCAUGAAGCGCAUUAUUACCUUGUGAUUCCAUGACCCUCCUCUAUGCAUCCCUAACUCUCGAAAGCUGAUUCAGCUUUCAGCUAGUGCUCUGGUGAGUCCUCUGCUGCAACAGAAGCUCCUAACUGGAGGAACUCGGUAGCAGGAACGUGUGUAAAAGACAAAGGCAUCUUCCAUCACGAUUGUGCAAGGAGCCUGUCCCAGCCUGCCAGGGAAUCUGCACAAAUUCCCCUUUUCUAUUUUUCAGCUGGAGUACAGCAGUGUUAUUUCAAAGAAAAUGCCUGCACAGCCUUCUCUCUGCAAACACUGCAACCAUCAUUCGAUCAGUGCAACUCUCUCGUGUGAGCUAAUUUAACAAGCGGUUGCUUUGCAGGCUGUGGAGAAUUGCCUCUUACCUAAUAAUUCUGCUAAUUUGCUUAACUUUCCCAGAUUGCAAACGGCCCUACUCUGAACAAGCAGCUUUCUAAAUGAACCCCCAGACAAUUGCUUGACAAGAGGGAAAGGAAAGGUGGGUGGCUCGGGAGGCUGAAGCUCACAGUCUUUUAUUUUUGACCUUUGGGCCAGCAUUCAGAUUUGCUUGUUGGGAAAACUGCAUUCAGGAUAUAUUUUCUUCAGGGAUUUACGCUACCCUUUUGCUUGUAAUUAUUCUCACUUGAUGUCUUCCAUAAAUUAAAGAUGCUUCUAUUAGUGAGCUCCAGUCCUCUCAAUUAUCUUGCUAAGGUCUCCUUAUUUGUGGCAGUGAGCUACACCACCAGGACUGCCAUCCUUGCAAAGCUCCUGGUCGGUGGCUACAGGCAGAGAAAUAAGGAAUGUACAUGGGUAAUACAAAUGUCUGAGCAAUCCCAGAAAGAAAUGAAAACUGCAGUAAAGGUAAAUGUCAGACUAUUUAAAGACAAUGUUAACUAUUGAUUUUUUAGAGGAGACUACCUCUUCAAAGGAUGGCAUGCAUGCCUUCAGAUACAGAGGAGGCAGUCUAGACGGAUGGCGGAGAGAGGGAGGUGAGGGAACUGGGAAGACAGAGAUUUUCCCAGAGAGCAAAAUGAACCCUUUAUGAAGCCUUUGGGAUUAAAGACGUGGCUUAGUUCUUUCACAGCGUCCAUCCUUUGACCCAUUUAAGCACCAUGCCUUUCCCAAGAAAUGAAGGGCAAAGAAGCACUGAUGAGCAAUAAAGAGAUAAGCAGCAAAGUACUCGUUUCACCGGUGUUUUCCAAUGAAAAAUGAACCCUCAAGCACACCCAGUGAUUUGUUGUCGAAGUGGCAAAGCUCACCCAAGUUCCUGAUUUUGCUUCCAGCAGAGAUGCUCAUUGCUCAUUCUCACACCCUGGAGCAACUCGGACUCAUUACGCGGUGCUCGCUCUUCCCACCCGCACCUGCCUGCACGCGGGGUGGGACCACCACCGCCGCAGCGGGGAUGCUGGUGCGGAGAUCCAGGCAGCUGGCAAAAAGGGGGGAAGAAAGCUAUCAUUCUCCCUGUACCUACAACUAGGGUCUUGUGGGAAAUUAUAAUCAACUUGGCAAUUUUUUAUUAUCCUUUAGUACAACAGGAUAGGCUAUGAUUUCAUAUGGUUUAAGAGAAAAUCAAGCCUAGAAUAAAAGCCUUGGUUUUUAAGAAAUACAUGUGUGUGUAUAUGAAUUAGAAAAAAUAUGCGUAUGUAUGUACACAUACAUUUUUUUAAUAUAUAUAUAUAAAAACACUUGCCUUAUGGCUCAUGCUGUGAUAUCCCUGCCAAAGCAUCUGGGAGCAGAUAUUGCUGGCCUCGGAUGCAUGCAUCUGCAGGGGAUUGUUCCUUUCAAGCUGUAGUGCAGAGAUGAUGCUAUACAUGGUGCUUGGGGAAAACGGCAUGAUAAGAAUUUAGUGAGGGGAUUUAAAGGUCUUCCAGACCUGCAUUUUCAAAAAGGGAAACUUCUUAUCUCGAUGGGUGUUUUGGAACAGGAGGAACGAAGGAUCUAAUCCAGCGAAGUGUAAUGUCAGCUAGGGCAAAUUAAUUUUGCAUUUGGAUACACUGCCUUUUUCAGAGGCUAAUUUGGGUCUUAAAAGAAAAAUAAUUAUACACUUCUAUACAACAAAGGAAAUGGGUGACACUGCGGGGUCACUACUGACCUUGGCAGGUUUUGAAGUGGGUACACAAGAGGAACAGACCCUCCCGGCACCCUGCGUUUCCCCUCUGCAAGUCUUUUGGGUGCUUCAGUUUGAAGAUCCCCAUAGGGCUUAUAACCCCAGCUCGCCUUCUUUGGCAGCCGGCUCAAGUUGCAGAAAACCCCAGUUCCUGGUAGAUCCUAAACACAGCGCAAUACGGUAUUACUGCCUGGGGUAACUUUUGGUUUAGAUGUAUUAUUUCAAUAACGAGGUCUUCAGACAGUGUUAAACGACAGAUGAUAUAAUUUUUGAAUGCGAUGUUCAUCUGAAUUUUAUUUUCUGAUGUUUUGACUCAUUGACUUGAUGUCUCUCUAUUAUGCACACACCUCUGGAGAUGUUGCUGGCAAUGAUUAUGCAUAGCAUUGAGUUAGUGAAUAAAACCACUCCAGGAACUGCUUUACAGAUCACAGUAUCGUUUUCUCUAUAAUUGUCCCACAAACGGUGGAAGUUAUAUGGAGAGAGCAGUGUGCUCUGACAGACUGCAUAUUUUUGCAGUGUGCAUCAGAUCUCACUUUGGCUUCUGAGACUUAUUUCUGAUGGUUCUUGGGGAUUUAACUUUAAGACCAAUGUAUUUUAGUAUCCAUAUGCGCUCCACUGUUCAUGUCAUCCGGCAGCAACCGAGGAUGAGCUGUCUCCUUAAUAUGGAUGAGACACCAAUUUAUCUAAGUUAUCACCUCCCAAUCUCUCAUUCAUCUCUGCUGUUAAGUGCUGUGUUUCUGACAUCCGUACCUAAACUAUCAGCAACUUCUUCUCCUUCAAUUGAAACCAUAAGUAAUUUUUGGCUGGAAGUUCUUGUUAUGUAUAUAAUGGUUUCUUCAUCUCCCAGCUGGAAUUCACCCAUCAGGUGACUGAAUCAGGCUCUCCGGACACUGCAUUUUAAACCCACAAUAUUGCAUAGAUCCACGCAGCACAGUAAAUCAAAAGCCAGGGUGUCUUUCCACCACCUGAAAAUAUAUGACCAAAUUAACAUGUCCCAGGCUUACUUCGAACAGCGCUGCAGCCCCGGUUGUGUACAGCCCAGGCGUUUGACUGCAAAGUCAGCAAUACUUUCCCCCUUCCUGAUGCAUUCCCAAACCGGCGAAACUUAGCCCUACUCCUGGUAUUCUCUUUAUAGAAGGUCCCAGUGAUAUUAUGUAUCAAAUAAAGGUCUCAUUACUGAGUUUCUGGUUCCUUCAUGCCGUUCCUCUCAUUAAUCAUCCUGUACUUC